rnacentral:rRNA from 1 species
CGUGUAGGCGGUUUGGUAAGUCAGAUGUGAAAGCCCCGGGCUUAACCCGGGAAGUGCAUUUGAAACUGCCAUACUUGAGUAUGGGAGAGGAGAGUGGAAUUCCCAGUGUAGAGGUGAAAUUCGUAGAUAUUGGGAGGAACACCGGUGGCGAAGGCGACUCUCUGGACCAAUACUGACGCUGAGACGCGAAAGCGUGGGGAGCAAACAGGAUUAGAUACCCGAGUAGUCC